rnacentral:rRNA from 1 species
GGGUUGUGAGGUUAAGCGACUAAGCGUACACGGUGGAUGCCCUGGCAGUCAGAGGCGAUGAAGGGCGUGCUAAUCUGCGAUAAGCGCCGGUAAGGUGAUAUGAACCGUUAUAACCGGCGAUACCCGAAUGGGGAAACCCAGUGUGAUUCGUCACACUAUCAUUAACUGAAUCCAUAGGUUAAUGAGGCGAACCGGGGGAACUGAAACAUCUAAGUACCCCGAGGAAAAGAAAUCAACCGAGAUUCCCCCAGUAGCGGCGAGCGAACGGGGAGGAGCCCAGAGCCUGAAUCAGCAUGUGUGUUAGUGGAAGCGUCUGGAAAGGCGCGCGAUACAGGGUGACAGCCCCGUACACAAAAGCGCAUGUGCUGUGAGCUCGAUGAGUAGGGCGGGACACGUGGUAUCCUGUCUGAAUAUGGGGGGACCAUCCUCCAAGGCUAAAUACUCCUGACUGACCGAUAGUGAACCAGUACCGUGAGGGAAAGGCGAAAAGAACCCCGGCGAGGGGAGUGAAAAAGAACCUGAAACCGUGUACGUACAAGCAGUGGGAGCNNGUGACUGCGUACCUUUUGUAUAAUGGGUCAGCGACUUAUAUUCUGUAGCAAGGUUAACCGAAUAGGGGAGCCGGAGGGAAACCGAGUCUUAAUUGGGCGUUAAGUUGCAGGGUAUAGACCCGAAACCCGGUGAUCUAGCCAUGGGCAGGUUGAAGGUUGGGUAACACUAACUGGAGGACCGAACCGACUAAUGUUGAAAAAUUAGCGGAUGACCUGUGGCUGGGGGUGAAAGGCCAAUCAAACCGGGAGAUAGCUGGUUCUCCCCGAAAGCUAUUUAGGUAGCGCCUCGUGAAUUCAUCUCCGGGGGUAGAGCACUGUUUCGGCUAGGGGGCCAUCCCGGCUUACCAACCCGAUGCAAACUGCGAAUACCGGAGAAUGUUAUCACGGGAGACACACGGCGGGUGCUAACGUCCGUCGUGAAGAGGGAAACAACCCAGACCGCCAGCUAAGGUCCCAAAGUCAUGGUUAAGUGGGAAACGAUGUGGGAAGGCCCAGACAGCCAGGAUGUUGGCUUAGAAGCAGCCAUCAUUUAAAGAAAGCGUAAUAGCUCACUGGUCGAGUCGGCCUGCGCGGAAGAUGUAACGGGGCUAAACCAUGCACCGAAGCUGCGGCAGCGANNGUUGGGUAGGGGAGCGUUCUGUAAGCCUGUGAAGGUGUGUCGUGAGGCAUGCUGGAGGUAUCAGAAGUGCGAAUGCUGACAUAAGUAACGAUAAAGCGGGUGAAAAGCCCGCUCGCCGGAAGACCAAGGGUUCCUGUCCAACGUUAAUCGGGGCAGGGUGAGUCGACCCCUAAGGCGAGGCCGAAAGGCGUAGUCGAUGGGAAACGGGUUAAUAUUCCCGUACUUGGUGUUACUGCGAAGGGGGGACGGAGAAGGCUAUGUUGGCCGGGCGACGGUUGUCCCGGUUUAAGCGUGUAGGUGUGUGUUCCAGGUAAAUCCGGUUCACUUUAACACUGAGGCGUGAUGACGAGGCACUACGGUGCUGAAGUAACAAAUGCCCUGCUUCCAGGAAAAGCCUCUAAGCAUCAGGUAACAUCAAAUCGUACCCCAAACCGACACAGGUGGUCAGGUAGAGAAUACCAAGGCGCUUGAGAGAACUCGGGUGAAGGAACUAGGCAAAAUGGUGCCGUAACUUCGGGAGAAGGCACGCUGACACGUAGGUGAAGUGAUUUACUCAUGGAGCUGAAGUCAGUCGAAGAUACCAGCUGGCUGCAACUGUUUAUUAAAAACACAGCACUGUGCAAACACGAAAGUGGACGUAUACGGUGUGACGCCUGCCCGGUGCCGGAAGGUUAAUUGAUGGGGUCAGCGCAAGCGAAGCUCCUGAUCGAAGCCCCGGUAAACGGCGGCCGUAACUAUAACGGUCCUAAGGUAGCGAAAUUCCUUGUCGGGUAAGUUCCGACCUGCACGAAUGGCGUAAUGAUGGCCAGGCUGUCUCCACCCGAGACUCAGUGAAAUUGAACUCGCUGUGAAGAUGCAGUGUACCCGCGGCAAGACGGAAAGACCCCGUGAACCUUUACUAUAGCUUGACACUGAACAUUGAGCCUUGAUGUGUAGGAUAGGUGGGAGGCUUUGAAGUGUGGACGCCAGUCUGCAUGGAGCCGACCUUGAAAUACCACCCUUUAAUGUUUGAUGUUCUAACGUGGACCCGUUACCCGGGUUGCGGACAGUGUCUGGUGGGUAGUUUGACUGGGGCGGUCUCCUCCUAAAGAGUAACGGAGGAGCACGAAGGUUGGCUAAUCCUGGUCGGACAUCAGGAGGUUAGUGCAAUGGCAUAAGCCAGCUUGACUGCGAGCGUGACGGCGCGAGCAGGUGCGAAAGCAGGUCAUAGUGAUCCGGUGGUUCUGAAUGGAAGGGCCAUCGCUCAACGGAUAAAAGGUACUCCGGGGAUAACAGGCUGAUACCGCCCAAGAGUUCAUAUCGACGGCGGUGUUUGGCACCUCGAUGUCGGCUCAUCACAUCCUGGGGCUGAAGUAGGUCCCAAGGGUAUGGCUGUUCGCCAUUUAAAGUGGUACGCGAGCUGGGUUUAGAACGUCGUGAGACAGUUCGGUCCCUAUCUGCCGUGGGCGCUGGAGAACUGAGGGGGGCUGCUCCUAGUACGAGAGGACCGGAGUGGACGCAUCACUGGUGUUCGGGUUGUCAUGCCAAUGGCACUGCCCGGUAGCUAAAUGCGGAAGAGAUAAGUGCUGAAAGCAUCUAAGCACGAAACUUGCCCCGAGAUGAGUUCUCCCUGAGACUUAGAGUCUCCUGAAGGAACGUUGAAGACGACGACGUUGAUAGGCCGGGUGUGUAAGCGCAG